AAGUCGUAACAAGGUUUCCGUAGGUGAACCUGCGGAAGGAUCAUUAACACGUAUCCAAACGUAAAAAACCCCCCCCGUGAACAUUCAAUCCUGCUCUUGUAACCCGCGUAGUUCGCAAUCUCUGGUAAAUCAUAGCCCGGAAAGUAGUUUUGAUUCAGAGACCUCUGGCUACGUGAGAACAUUGGAACAGUUACAAUCGAGCGGUAGUUUCAUAGGCAUUGUUUCCCCAAGCAGUCAGUGUCUGAAAGUGUCACCGAUUGUGCAAGGAUAGCGCUUCAACGAUUCCUGUAGACCGUACACUCGCAUGCCCCCUUAUAACCCCACAGUUUAAUGUGAAGCUCAAUGUAAUUCAUUGGGUAAAAAAACCGAACAACUGUUAACAAUGGAUAUCUUGGUUCUC
rnacentral:misc_RNA from 1 species